GUUAAUGUAGCUUAACAUAAAGCAAGGCACUGAAAAUGCCUAGAUGAGUAGACUCUACUCCAUAAACA
rnacentral:tRNA from 1 species